UACAGAGGGUGCGAGCGUUGUUCGGAAUCACUGGGCGUAAAGGGUGCGUAGGCGGGUCUUUAAGUCAGGGGUGAAAUCCUGGAGCUCAACUCCAGAACUGCCUCUGAUACUGAAGAUCUUGAGUUCGGGAGAGGUGAGUGGAACUGCGAGUGUAGAGGUGAAAUUCGUAGAUAUUCGCAAGAACACCAGUGGCGAAGGCGGCUCACUGGCCCGAUACUGACGCUGAGGCACGAAAGCGUGGGGAGCAAACAGG
rnacentral:rRNA from 1 species